CAUGCAGUCGAGGGGCAGCACGUCUUCGGAUGGUGGCGANCGGCGCANGNNNNNNNNNNNCGUAUACNUCUACCUUUUACAGGGGCAUAGNNNNNGGAAACCAGGAUUAAUAUCCCAUGGUAUCAUUUAGUGGCAUCACUUGAAUGAUUAAAGUUUCGGCGGUAAAAGAUGAGUAUGCGUCCUAUUAGCUAGAUGGUAAGGUAACGGCUUACCAUGGCAGUGAUAGGUAGGGGUCCUGAGAGGGAGAUCCCCCACACUGGUACUGAGACACGGACCAGACUCCUACGGGAGGCAGCAGUGAGGAAUAUUGGACAAUGGGCGAGAGCCUGAUCCAGCCAUGCCGCGUGCAGGAAGACUGCCCUAUGGGUUGUAAACUGCUUUUAUACGGGAAGAAACACUCCUUCGUGAAGGAGCUUGACGGUACCGUACGAAUAAGGAUCGGCUAACUCCGUGCCAGCAGCCGCGGUAAUACGGAGGAUCCAAGCGUUAUCCGGAAUCAUUGGGUUUAAAGGGUCCGUAGGCGGGAUAAUAAGUCAGUGGUGAAAGUCUGCAGCUCAACUGUAGAACUGNCAUUGAAACUGUUGUCCUUGAGUAAUUAUGAAGUGGNUAGAAUAUGUAGUGNAGCGGUGAAAUGCAUANAUNUUACAUA
rnacentral:rRNA from 1 species